AACUACAAAAUAAUCCGCUGCGUAUCUGUUGAAAGGAUCUAGGCUAUUAAUGACUAGGGAUGUAGCAUCCCCGAUCCUAGGUAGGAUCGUUGGGACGAGCCAUGGUGCGAGGAGACGCACCAGAUAGGUCAUUUGGCCUAAGGACAAGCGUAUCAUGGCUCAAAUAAGAAGGUUAAGGGUAUCAGGAAGCUGAGCCUUAACCAGGAUGGAUGGAAGAAAGCUUAGGAGACUUGGCCGAGUAAUCUAGCAGCUGGAUAAGGUCGGGUACAAGCUCAAACAGCUGGGGACAGUGUGAAACCAGGUAAUACGGUCCUUGGUAGCUCAAUGGAGCUGAUAGGUUACCUCACUCAGCUGAGGCCAGCUAGUGGCCAGCUCAACUCAGCUCGGUGAAGUGUUAUGGUCCGGGCCGGCUUGGCCGGGUCAUGGGCGGUUAUGGGCUGGAGGUGAUAGACCGCGGUCCACGGAUCAGUACAUGGAGCCGAACAAGCCUGGAGAUCAGAACGUUCUGAACAUUUCAACCGAGGUUCAUGUUUUUCACCGUACCGGACAGACUGACCGUGCAGUGUACUGGACCGUCCCGCAUACGUCCGGAAAGGAGCUUUGGCUGGAACCAUGGCCAGAUGACCGAUCUGACCAUACUGGGGCUUGUCUUUCCCGUCCAACUUCACAUUUGAAGACAUAUGGUCGAGCUAGAAUCCACUUUGGACGAGCUGGACGAGGUGACACUUACUUGGGCGAGCUAGACGAGCUGAUUGAGCUAAGUGACACUAUUUUGGAGCUGGAUGAGCUGAGUGAGCUAAAUUACACUAGCUUGGAACUGAAUGAGCCAAUUAACACUGAAGAUGGAGCUGGUUCAGCUGCUGGGCGAAAUGGGCCUUUUCAGCCCAAAGAAAAGUUCAUAUAAAGUUCAUUAUGGGAUUGUUUCUUUCCAUAUUCGACCAGCCCUUUCCUCAGUCCAUUUCAAGCACAUUCUCAUCUGAAUACCAAGAGGGAGUCAGCAACGAAGUCUUGGUCGUGCAUGGGAAAAAGAAUUCAACAAAAUCAUUAAUUUCGGUCUUUAGUCAAAGUCUUCAUUUCUAGUUUCUAUGUCUUGUUUUUAGCACAUUCUUCUUUGGAUUUCUACAACUUGUAAUCCUAUAAAUAAGGCCUUAGAGCCACUAAAUAAGACAGAUUGUUUUCCCCUUUUGUUGACUUAAAACUCUUUGUUCUUUGUAGAACUUGUUCUUAGUUUCUUGGGGAGGUUAUCUCCAAGUUUCGAUCCUUCUUUUGUUGGACCGGUGCGUCACAUCCGGCAACGAUCGAAGUCUGGUAGUAUCUUUGGGCUAUUCCGCAACCCUUAGUGUCACCCCUCGAUCCAUCAGUUCUCAAUCCUCUCGGAUCUUAGUUCAUAUCAACCUUUCCGAAAGAGUGAUCCUUAUUUUGGUUCUAUCAAUUGGUAUCAGAGCCACUCUCUCGGUAACUCUAUUAUCAUUCCAUCUUCUUAUCUCUCCAUCUUCUUCAAACACUUCUUCUUCUACCUUUCUUAAAUCCGGGCCCCUCAUUACCAUCCAUAUAUAUAUAUAAAAAAAAAGAUUUACAAUUUGAUUCAAAAAAAAAAAAAAAAAAAAAAGUUCAAAGUUUGUUUUGUGGAUUGGUGGUGGAAGAGAAAGCCUGCUGGCUGAGGAGAAAUCCAGCCUUUGAGGUGGUUAAAACGGAUUU